rnacentral:lncRNA from 1 species
GCUUUGUAUAGCGCUCUGGAGCAGUAUUGGAGAGGUUUAGUGUGUGUUAAGGACGCUGUGCUUUGGCAUUAUUAAGACAGUCUCGUUCACACACUGUCACGUACACACACUCUCAAGUGGCCAAGACUGCAAGUGUGGGUAUCUGGACAGGGUCAAAGUCUUAAAAAUGAUCCCUAAACACAUCACAGUCUUAAUAAUCCAGUUUAACACUUGUAUGAUAUUGUACAAGCCCCAGGACGAUCUCAUCUGACAAUAUCAAAAGAAUUCAUAUGACUAUAGCUUGCUAUUAAUUACUUGCUUUCAAUAAUGGAUGCAUUUAACAUUUAAUUAUACAGCAUCUUUACAGAGGUGUAAUGUACAAGUUGCACGUAAUUAAUAAUAUUUCCUUCUUUCUGUCUUACAGGAUUUUUUGCAGAUAAUCCUAAUGCUGUUCUUCUUUUUCAGGUCUAAAAUAUCAAGCUCAACAACUCACUCAAGAGCCAACCCUCACAAACCUUCCUAAAAACUAAAAGAGCUAUUACUGAGUCUCAGCGAAUCUUGCCAUGAUCAGCUCUUCCCAGAAGAGAAGGAAGACCAAGGAAAUGAUUUGCUCAGGAUGAGAAAUGAAGAUGGCCAUCUUGUGCUCAAGCAAACAGAAGUCCUCUGAUGAUCUCAUCAGCCAAAUGAGGGGUUUUGACCAAGUGAUGCUCUUGAAAGGAGUGAAAGAAGAAGAUGUGCUAAAUUCUCUUCAGAGAAAAAGCUUCUCAAAAGAUCUUAAAACAGCUUGAAGAAUGGUCUGGGAUCUUAGGACUGAGAGAUCAUCUGGCUGAGAACAAGCUACACCUCAUCAGUGCUGGACAUCAACCACAAACUGUUUCCAGACACGAGAGAAGAAGAUCACGAUGGGAGAUGAAACCAGUUUAGAUGUGAUGAUGGGAAUCAUUAUUUUCUGAAACAGUAUCACAUGUCUUAUAUGUAUCACAUGAUCUGUAUCACAGUUGACUGGAUGGGACUGUGUGACUUUUAAGGACAUUUCAUCACUCAUCUGUGUGAACUGAUUUAUAUAUGAGGUUUAAUGUAUCUUUGAUGAUAAUUAUUUUCAUUGAAUC